rnacentral:rRNA from 1 species
AUACGUAGGGUGCGAGCGUUGUCCGGAAUUACUGGGCGUAAGGAGCUCGUAGGUGGUUUGUCGCGUCGUCUGUGAAAUUCCGGGGCUUAACUCCGGGCGUGCAGGCGAUACGGGCAUAACUUGAGUACUGUAGGGGAGACUGGAAUUCCUGGUGUAGCGGUGAAAUGCGCAGAUAUCAGGAGGAACACCGGUGGCGAAGGCGGGUCUCUGGGCAGUAACUGACGCUGAGGAGCGAAAGCAUGGGUAGCGAACAGGAUUAGAUACCCUGGUAGUCCAUGCCGUAAACGGUGGGCGCUAGGUGUAGGGGUCUUCCACGACUUCUGUGCCGUAGCUAACGCAUUAAGCGCCCCGCCUGGGGAGUACGGCCGCAAGGCUAAAACUCAAAGGAAUUGACGGGG